GUAAUACAUCGGAACGUGCCCAGUCGUGGGGGAUAACGUAGCGAAAGCUACGCUAAUACCGCAUACGAUCUGUGGAUGAAAGCGGGGGACCUUCGGGCCUCGCGCGAUUGGAGCGGCCGAUGGCAGAUUAGGUAAUUGGUGGGGUAAAGGCCUACCAAGCCGACGAUCUGUAGCUGGUCUGAGAGGAUGAUCAGCCACACUGGGACUGAGACACGGCCCAGACUCCUACGGGAGGCAGCAGUGGGGAAUUUUGGACAAUGGGCGCAAGCCUGAUCCAGCCAUUCCGCGUGCAGGA
rnacentral:rRNA from 1 species